AAUUAAUCACUUACCUUUUUGAUUUCUGUACUCUCUGUAUAGUCGUUGAUCUGAAAGAUUUAUCAUCAUGCGUUUUUUGCUGACCGUUCUUCUCUUGGUUGCUGUAGUUAUGAUUGUUGCUGAAGCGAGUCAUAGCGGUCGUCGUAAUAGACGUCGUAAUAGACAUAACAGACCAUCGUUGAGACACGUCAGCUGUCAGAGGGUAAAGAAUGCAGGUGUUUGUGAGAGAUGCUGUGACCCGUGUAAAAAUGUUGAGUGUUGUGAACCUCUAACUUGUUCUGGGGGUGAAUGUAAAUGCAACGGUGAAGUCUGUGGAGAGAAUCAAACCUGUAGGCCUACAGGUAUGGGAGGAAGUGGUUUUGAACCAGCUGGUUCGAGUGUUCUCAGUUGUGUCGACAAUGCAAUUGUCCAAUUCUAAGAAGUAGAUAAGCAAACCAAACAUUCCAGACCUUUAAAAAAAGCAACAACAGAUGUGAUUUUCAACAGACGAAUAGUAUACAGUACAGCCUGGAAGAUCAACACCAAUUCCGCUGAUAUAAUAUUGUAAAAGAAGAAAAUAAAUGCUCAGAAACCUAGUUUGUACAAACGUCUCGGUGCAUCAGGUUUAACAAGGACAAGUUUCAAACGUUCACUUAAAUUUCUUGACUCAUGUUGAUCCACAAUCGGCAGUUUGCAAAUAUUCCAUGGGACAUAGAAUUCUUGCUUUACAAUAUUAUGUUAAAUAUAUUAUAAUAAAUGAAACUCACAUCUUUUA